rnacentral:rRNA from 1 species
CUGCAGGUCGACGAUUGGAGGAAAGUAGGGGAUCGCAAGACCUUGCGCUAUUGGAUGAGCCGAAGUCGGAUUAGCUAGUUGGUAGGGUAACGGCCUACCAAGGCGACAAUCCGUAGCUGGUCUGAGAGGACGACCAGCCACACUGGGACUGAGACACGGCCCAGACUCCUACGGGAGGCAGCAGUGGGGAAUAUUGGACAAUGAGGGCAACCCUGAUCCAGCCAUGCCGCGUGAGUGGAGAAGGCCUUCGGGUUGUAAAGCUCUUUCGGCCGGAACGAAAUCGGGUACGUGAAUAACGUGCCUGGAUGACGGUACUGGAAGAAGAAGCACCGGCUAACUACGUGCCAGCAGCCGCGGUAAUACGUAGGGUGCGAGCGUUAAUCGGAAUUACUGGGCGUAAAGCGUGCGUAGGCGGUUUCGCAAGUCAGAUGUGAAAUCCCCGGGCUUAACCUGGGAACU